AAAACGUUUUGAUUAAUUAAUCAAUAAAAAAAAAUAUUGGACGUCCGCCUAAAAAAUCUGGAUCCUCCAUGGCGGAAAUUUUAGGCGGAUGUACGCUUUUCAAAAAAAAAAAAUUUGAGGACUUACAGAAUCCUUCGACGAUGCCUCCGGUGUACGAUCGUUGUCGUCAUCCAUCGUCCUAAACCAGUCGCUAAAGUUUAAUAAAAUAAUUUUUUAAAAAAAUGGGAUUUUUGGUGGUGGGCUCGGGAAUUUUGGGUUGGAUGUCGUGGGGUUGGAUGUGAUGGGCUCGGGAAUUUUUUUAACCAAGUGUUGGAUUGAAUGUGCUUGGGAAUAAUAUUAAAAUGCUUGGGAAUCUUUUUAACUAAGUGGUGGAGCCUUAUAUAGUCCAAGUUAUGAAAAGGGUGGUCCUUUCAUGUCAAAAUGGGAGCAACGCCCGGUAAAUUGGGAUCGAUGUUUAGCAGUUCAGUUGAUAUCAUGUGAGAACCUAGGUCUAUAAUAGGAACUAGAAACUUAUCAGGACCGUUGAUCGCGCUAAAUCUAACGGUCGAGAUUCCACUCGCUUCAUUAAUGGCAAAUUAGUAAAUUUGAUAUUUUGAAUGAAUACCCAACAUUUCAUCAGUUUCUUUUUUUUCACUUUCUCUCUCUUCUUUCAAAUUCUCUCUGCUGCGUACUGCGAUUUUUUCAUUAUUUUAUAUAAAAAUCUUUGAAUUUUUUCUUCGCUCUUCACCGCCUGAUAUUUUGAACAAAGUAAUCCAAUGUCAGACACACAAGUUGGUGCUGCAAUGUCAAUUUUACUUGGCACCAACACAUGCUUUCAACUGCUAGUUCAUCCAAGGUUUGCAGAACCAAUCGCUUUUGAUUCAGGUAUGUCUUUUUUAUUGGCUUAAUAAACUGAACUAGUGCAAAUAGGUAGUGAUUAUGCGGGCUGGGUGUCGUGGCUCAAAACAACAUGGAAGGAUUGUGUGGACUGCUUAAUGAUGCAUGUCAGAUAUGCAGCAGAACAAGGUUUAGGCUUCUUGUGGCUCGUAUAUUGAGUGUGAAGCGAAUACGGUUCGAAGGAGAUGCAAUUUCUGUGUUUUUUAGGUUAAUGCUAGCACUAGAACUGUUGUUAGAAGUUCUGUAAACUACAUGAAUAUCAAAUGUAAGAGUAAAGUCUCAGUUUUCAGGGAUCUCUAGUCCAGUGCAUUUCAAUUUGUUUUGUGUACGGUAAAAAUGUGCUUUGAUUUCAAACUUUUUGUUAUCUAAGAA